GUGAAUCAUCGAAUCUUUGAACGCAAAUUGCGCUCUCGGGUAUUCCCGGGAGUAUGCCUGUUUGAGGGUCAGUGUAAAUAAAAAUCGGUGUAGUUGCUGCCUUGCGUGGUGACGCAUCGGCUUGGGGUCGUCUGGCCUUCGGGUAUGUGACCUAAAAUUGUGCAUGAAUUUUUUGAACGUAGUUAAGUGAUUUUAGGUACGUUUGCGAUGUC
rnacentral:misc_RNA from 1 species